AUUUUUGUAUUUUGUUAUAAAAUAUAAAUUUACCGCCCGACCGAGCAUCUUCAGAGAUUUAGUUACUUUUAUAUUUUAUAUUGGAAUUUUUGCGAUAUAAAAUUGUUUUAUCGUUAAUAUUGCAACAUGUUAAGGGAUGCUUGGAAUACUGAAGGAAAAAAUGGGCUUAUAGCCUUAUUACAACGAUUUGUGUGGACCCUUAUGCAUGUUCAUUAGCGCAUGUGCAAUUAUCCACUUACAUAGCGUUCUUCUAUAAUAUAUUUAAGGGCAAAUAUAAAAAGACCUCCCUCUCC